GACAGAGGGUGCAAACGUUGUUCGGAAUUACUGGGCGUAAAGCGCGUGUAGGCUGCUCUGCAAGUCGGGUGUGAAAGCCCCGGGCUCAACCUGGGAACUGCAUCUUAUACUGCGCAACUGGAGUGCAAUAGAGGGUAGUGGAAUUUCCGGUGUAGCGGUGAAAUGCGUAGAUAUCGGAAGGAACACCAGUGGCGAAGGCGGCUACCUGGACCACAACUGACGCUGAGGCGCGAAAGCGUGGGGAGCAAACAGGG
rnacentral:rRNA from 1 species